UACGUAGGGUGCGAAGCGUUGUCCGGAAUUAUUGGGCGUAAAGAGCUCGUAGGCGGCUUGUCACGUCGGGUGUGAAAGCCCGGGGCUUAACCCCGGGUCUGCAUUCGAUACGGGCUAGCUAGAGUGUGGUAGGGGAGAUCGGAAUUCCUGGUGUAGCGGUGAAAUGCGCAGAUAUCAGGAGGAACACCGGUGGCGAAGGCGGAUCUCUGGGCCAUUACUGACGCUGGAGGAGCGAAAGCGUGGGGAGCGAACAGG
rnacentral:rRNA from 1 species